rnacentral:rRNA from 1 species
CCCUUAGAUGUUCUGGGCCGCACGCGUGCUACACUGAGUGGAUCAGCGGGUCAGGUUGCGCGAAAGUGUUUCCUAAUCUUUAAAUCCGCUCGUGAUGGGGAUUGACGGUUGCAAUUUUCCGUCAUGAACGAGGAAUACCUUGUAAGCGCGGGUCAUCAUCCCGCGCUGAAUACGUCCCUGCCCUUUGUAUACACCGCCCGUCGCUCCUACCGAUUGAGUGGUCCGGUGAGGCUUUGGGAUCUGAGCGGAAAGAGCGUUUCGCUGUUUCUGCCCGGAAAACUCAGUCGAACCUUAUCAUUUAGAGGAAGGAGAAGUCGUAACA